AUUGAACGCUGGCGGCAGGCCUAACACAUGCAAGUCGAGCGGAUGAAGGCAGCUUGCUUCUGGAUUCCGCGGCGGACGGGGGAGUAAUGCCUAGGAAUCUGCCUGGUUGUGGGUGAUAACGUCUGGAAACGGGCGCUACUACCGCCUAAGUGCUGAGGGAGCAAGUGGGUGAUGUUCGGAACUCACGGUCUCAGAGGAGCCUAGGUCGGAUUGACUAGUUGGUGGGGUAAUGGCCUACCAAGGCGAGGUUUCGUAACUGGUCUGAGUGGAUGAUCAGUCACACUGGAACUGAGACACGGUCCAGACUCCUACGGGAGGCAGCAGUGGGGAAUAUUGGACAAUGGGCGAAAGCCUGAUCCAGCCAUGCCGCGUGUGUGAAGAAGGUCUUCGGAUUGUAAAGCACUUUAAGUUGGGAGGAAGGGCAGUAAGUUAAUACCUUGCUGUUUUGACGUUACCAACAGAAUAAGCACCGGCUAACUUCGUG
rnacentral:rRNA from 1 species